rnacentral:rRNA from 1 species
AUUGAACGCUGGCGGCAGGCUUAACACAUGCAAGUCGAGCGGAGAUGAGGUGCUUGCACCUUAUCUUAGCGGCGGACGGGUAAGUAAUGCUUAGGAAUCUGCCAUUUAGUGGGGGACAACAUUCCGAAAGGAAUGCUAAUACCGCAUACGUCCUACGAGAGAAAGCAGGGGAUCUUCGGACCUUGCGCUAAAUGAUGAGCCUAAGUCGGAUUAGCUAGUUGGUGGGGUAAAGGCCUACCAAGGCGACGAUCUGUAGCGGGUCUGAGAGGAUGAUCCACCACACUGGGACUGAGACACGGCCCAGACUCCUACGGGAGGCAGCAGUGGGGAAUAUUGGACAAUGGGCGGAAGCCUGAUCCAGCCAUGCCGCGUGUGUGAAGAAGGCCUUUUGGCUGUAAAGCACUUUAAGCGAGGAGGAGGCUACUAGUACUAAUACUACUGGAUAGUGGACGUUACUCGCAGAAUAAGCACCGGCUAACUCUGUGCCAGCCGCCGCAGUAACAC